rnacentral:rRNA from 1 species
UAGGGAAUCUUCGGCAAUGGGGGGAACCCUGACCGAGCAACGCCGCGUGAGUGAAGAAGGUCUUCGGAUCGUAAAGCUCUGUUGUUAAGGAAGAACGAGUGUGAGAAUGGAAAGUUCAUACUGUGACGGUACUUAACCAGAAAGGGACGGCUAACUACGUGCCAGCAGCCGCGGUAAUACGUAGGUCCCGAGCGUUGUCCGGAUUUAUUGGGCGUAAAGCGCGCGCAGGCGGUUAGAUAAGUCUGAAGUUAAAGGCAGUGGCUCAACCAUUGUAGGCUUUGGAAACUGUUUAACUUGAGUGCAGAAGGGGUGAGUGGAAUUCCAUGUGUAGCGGUGAAAUGCGUAGAUAUAGGGAGGAACACCGGUGGCGAAAGCGGCUCACUGGUCUGUAACUGACGCUGAGGCUCGAAAGCGUGGGGAGCGAACAGG